CACAAAACACUGCUUGUGCUGGCAGGCAAUCAAAUUUCAGGAAAAAUGUUAAAAAAUAGUGGUCUGUAGCACCUGCCUUUUCAGUAUCUUCAUGCCAGUUAUUCCACAGAAGCUUUAGUUAUGUCUGCUUGAUUUUCUGUUCUAGUUCAUGCUUGUGUUUAAUAAGCCGUUCUAUUUCUGUUCCUAGGGUUUGAAGGUUUUCUUUUAGUGUAAUAUUUUUCAGCAAUGUAUCUUCUAACACAGCUUGCAGCUUUCUGUUUAUCUCUAAGGAAAGUUCUAACGUGAGACCACUAUCUGCAGGAUGAGAUGUAUACAGAGAUGCCAUAAUCCCUCCCCGCCUACUCAGGUGUACUUUGUUGAAGUCAGAGGCCUCUGAGGACAGUGCGCCAGCUUCUUCCCGCAAAAUGUAACUCUGAAUAAUUCUG
rnacentral:lncRNA from 1 species